UGAGUAACCUGCCCUUCACUCUGGGAUAACUCCGGGAAACCGGGGCUAAUACUGGAUAUGACUCGAACAGGCAUCUGUUUCGGGUGGAAAGAUUUAUUGGUGGAGGAUGGACUCGCGGCCUAUCAGCUUGUUGGUGAGGUAAUGGCUCACCAAGGCGACGACGGGUAGCCGGCCUGAGAGGGCGAUCGGCCACACUGGGACUGAGACACGGCCCAGACCUCCGUACGGGAGCA
rnacentral:rRNA from 1 species